rnacentral:rRNA from 1 species
UACAGAGGGGGCAAGCGUUGUUCGGAAUUACUGGGCGUAAAGGGCGCGUAGGCGGCCUGCUAAGUCGAACGUGAAAUCCCCGAGCUCAACUCGGGAACUGCGUCCGAUACUGGAUGGCUUGAAUCCGGGAGAGGGAUGCAGAAUUCCAGGUGUAGCGGUGAAAUGCGUAGAUAUCUGGAGGAAUACCGGUGGCGAAGGCGGCAUCCUGGACCGGCAUUGACGCUGAUGAGCGAAAGCUAGGGGAGCAAACGGG